rnacentral:rRNA from 1 species
CAGCAGCCGCGGUAAUACCGGCGGCCCGAGUGGCGGCCACUAUUAUUGGGCUUAAAGCGUCCGUAGCCGGGUUGGUUAGUCUCCCGGGAAAUCUGGCCGCUUAACGGUCAGAAUUCCGGGAGAUACUGCCAGCCUAGGGACCGGGAGAGGCCGAGGGUAUUCCCGGAGUAGGGGUGAAAUCCUAUAAUCCCGGGAGGACCACCUGUGGCGAAGGCGCUCGGCUGGAACGGGUCCGACGGUGAGGGACGAAGGCCAGGGGAGCAAACCGGAUUAGAUACCCGGGUAGUCCUGGCUGUAAAGGAUGCGGGCUAGGUGUCGGGUGAGCUUCGGGCUCGCCCGGUGCCGUAGGGAAGCCGUUAAGCCCGCCGCCUGGGGAGUACGGCCGCAAGGCUGAAACUUAAAGGAAUUGGCGGG